GAACAAUCCCUGUGCCCAAUAAUGCAACACAGCUGAAUUCUGUGACUAAAUGAAUACGAUCUAAAUUGUUAGGUCUUGAAUUCAACCACUGAGCAUCAGGGAACAGUUACCCUGAAAGCGAUCAUUCAGGCCCAAGUGAAUAGAAAGUUAUUUAACUUAGAGACUGUGCACAGUGCAGCACUGGGGAUGAUAUUUUUACCCUCCCUGACCCACGCUACACUGGUAAUUAUUGUGGAGAAGGGAGCGUGGAUUAUGAAAUGCCCUGGUGCAGGAGACUCCGCUUGAAAAAUGCUUCCUUCACAGCACAUGUUCUCCCCGCUCUUAAUCGCCCCAUUCCCGUUGAAGCAUGCUGUGAACACUUGUGGAUUCUGCAUGUAGAGUCAAUGAAGGCAAGGUCAACUAGGACUGAACCCCUUUUUGUUUGAUCCCAAUUCAUUCCUUUACUCAAGCAGCACUUUCAGCUUCAGGGCGUCAGAGCCUUAAAAAGAGUAUCGUAACCAUGGACCGGUCAGCAGGGGAUCCCCUGACUCUACCUUUCCCUUCCACAGACCUAUUCAAGGCUCAGUCUGUCCCCCACUUUUCUUUUACUCCCCUCCCAAAAUUGUUACCAAUUUCCUCUCA